GACGAACGCUGGCGGCGUGCUUAACACAUGCAAGUCGAACGGAAAGGCCCUGCUUUUGUGGGGUGCUCGAGUGGCGAACGGGUGAGUAACACGUGAGUAACCUGCCCUUGACUUUGGGAUAACUUCAGGAAACUGGGGUUAAUACCGGAUAGGAGUUCCUGAUGCAUGGUGGGGGUUGGAAAGUUUCGGCGGUGGGGGAUGGACUCGCGGCUUAUCAGCUGGUUGGUGGGGUAGUGGCUAACCAAGGGUUUGCCGGGUAGCCGGCCUGGGAGGGUGGCCGCCACCAUUGGGACGAGGUUCGGCCCCGACCUCCACCGGGGGGCAGCGGUGGGAAUUAUGCCACAUGGGGCGGAGGCCGGUGGCGGCACGCCGGGGGGCGGGAUGCCGGCCUUCGGUUGUAAAACGGCUUUCGCCUGUGACGAAGCGUGAGUGACGGUAAUUGGUAAAGAAGCACCGGCUAACUACGUG
rnacentral:rRNA from 1 species